AUCGGUAAGAGCUUGUUGUGAGAUGGAAGACUAGCAAAAUUCCCAUUGCUUCUCCAUGCUGUUGAAACGAAGGUGCAAUUCUCUGCUAAGCCAUAAGAUGGAGAAAUGCAUGAUGGGUUAAGCCCAAAAGGCUUAAACACAUAAAUAAACUCUUCAACUGACGCCUUGUAAAUUGGUUCGUUAAUGAUGAUUAAGUUUUUCAAACUCCAUAGACUUAUGGGUCGAUUUCCCUUUUCAACCCCACCGCGCUUGACAACAAGUGGCAAUGUGAACGAUGGAACUGGAGUGCAGGUAGCUUUGAACUCUGAUAUCAGCUCCAGCCAUAGCCUUGGCCUGGUAACAAAUGCUCCAGGUGAAGUUAGCACACAUGUAGCCCCUGAUAUAACAGUAAGCAAUAGAAACUGAAGGCCACAGUCAUGGUACUGAGGCAACCAAGAGACUAUAACACUGUUUGGAUGGAGGUCGUAGGCUUUCCUUGCCACUCUAACGUUGUGAGCAGCUGAUCCGGCAGUUACCAG
rnacentral:misc_RNA from 1 species